GGGGGUGUAGCUCAAUUGGUAGAGCGCCUGCUUUGCAAGCAGAUUGUCGCAAGUUCGAUUCUUGUCACCUCCA
rnacentral:tRNA from 1 species